rnacentral:rRNA from 1 species
UACGUAGGGCGCAAGCGUUGUCCGGAUUCACUGGGUGUAAAGGGUGCGCAGGCGGGAAAGUAAGUUAGAGGUGAAAUCUCACAGCUCAACUGUGAAACGGCCUUUAAUACUGCUUUUCUUGAGUUAGGGAGAGGUUGAUGGAAUUCCAGGUGUAGCGGUGAAAUGCGUAGAUAUCUGGAAGAACACCCGUGGCGAAGGCGGCUCUCUGGGACGGUACUGACGCUGAGACGCGAAAGCGUGGGGGAGCAAACAGG